rnacentral:rRNA from 1 species
UACGUAGGGUGCGAGCGUUGUCCGGAAUUACUGGGCGUAAAGAGCUCGUAGGUGGUUUGUCGCGUUGUCCGUGAAAACUCACAACUCAAUUGUGGGCGUGCGGGCGAUACGGGCAGACUGGAGUACUGCAGGGGAGACUGGAAUUCCUGGUGUAGCGGUGGAAUGCGCAGAUAUCAGGAGGAACACCGGUGGCGAAGGCGGAUCUCUGGGCCGAUACUGACGCUGAGGAGCGAAAGCGUGGGGAGCGAACAGG